AUGUCACUGCUUAGUAGAUUCUUCUACAAGAGGCCUCCCGAUGGAUUACUGGAGUUCAUUGACAGGAUCUAUGUUUUUGAUUCAUGCUUCUGCACUGAAGUUUUGCCGCAUGGAAUGUACCCAGUCUAUUUGAAUGGAAUUCUUACAGAGUUGCAUGAAGAGCACGCAGAAUCUCAAUUUCUGGCGAUUAACUUCAGAGAUGGGGAUAAGAGAAGCCAGCUUGCUGAUAUCCUACAUGAAUACGAUAUUCCAGUAAUUGACUACCCACGUCAUUUUGAAGGCUGUCCAGUGCUUCCUCUAUCUCUUAUACAUCAUUUUCUUCGUGUCUGUGAACACUGGCUAUCUACUGGGAACAGCCAAAAUAUUGUACUACUCCAUUGUGAGAGAGGGGGCUGGCCAUCAUUGGCAUUUCUGCUAUCUUGUUUUCUUAUUUUCAAGAAGUUGCACAGCGCAGAACAUAGAACUCUGGACAUUGUUCACCGUGAGGCCCCUAAAGGGUUCCUACAGCUAUUUUCUGCACUCAACCCAAUGCCCUCUCAGCUUCGAUAUAUGCAGUAUGUAGCCAGAAGAAAUAUCUCUCCAGAGUGGCCUCCUAUGGAGCGGGCGCUCUCUUUGGAUUGUCUGAUCCUUCGAGCUAUUCCAAAUUUUGAUUCUGAUAAUGGAUGUAGGCCAUUGAUCCGAAUUUUCGGUCGAAAUCUUCUUGGCAAGAAUGCUAGCAUGACUGACAUGAUUUUUUCAAUGCCUAAGAAGAAGUCCUUGCGCCACUAUCGACAGGAGGACUGUGACGUGAUAAAAAUUGAUAUCCAGUGUCCAGUCCAGGGAGAUGUUGUUAUGGAGUGUGUACAUCUUGAUCUUGAUCCAGAAAAGGAAGUUAUGAUGUUCCGGAUAAUGUUCAAUACUGCUUUUAUCCGUUCAAAUGUACUGAUGCUGAAUAGUGAUGAUGUUGAUAUACUCUGGGGUUCAAAAGAUCGGUACCCAAGGAAUUUUAGAGCAGAGGUACUGUUUUGUGAAAUUGGGGGCAUUUCUCCUCCAAGGGCUCCAACAGUAACAUUGAAUGGUGAUAUGAAAGGUGGUUUACCAAUUGAAGCCUUUUCAGCUGUUCAAGAACUCUUCAAUGAUGUUGAAUGGAUGGAAAGCGGUGACAAUGCUGCUUUUUGGUUGCUCAAAGAAUUCUCAGCAAACUCUCUGCAAGAUAAAUUUCAAAAGCUAAUACUCAGCGACAUGAAAGAGCUUUCGAAGUUCCAAGCUAAAGUUGGCCUCCAGAUGCCACUAAUGUCUCCACUGGAUUCUGAUGAAGAAAAAUAUUCUGCGGCUUCUGAUUCCGGUUAUUCAGUAGAUUAUGAGAAGGUUCAACAUGGUGGGAACUCAUCUGACUCAGAGAACAUUGAUCGUGCUCUUACCACUGAAGAUUCUGAAUCUAUUGCCCCACCCCCACCACCUCAAGCACCAAAACCACCUGGAACUGUACCCCCUCCACCACCAAGCUCAAAAAUCUCAAAUGCACCAGCACCACCUCCAGUAUUGGGAAGGGGAAGAGCAGCAACCGGAUCAGCAAAAGGUCGUGGCAUUGGAUUGGCGCUUCAAAGUAACCCCCCAAAGAAAGCUUCAUUAAAGCCUUUGCACUGGGUGAAAGUUACACGAGCAAUGCAAGGAAGUCUCUGGGCAGAUGCCCAAAAUCAAGGGAAUCAGGCUAGGGCUCCUGAUAUUGAUAUGUCCGAAUUAGAGACCUUGUUCUCCACUGCUGUUGCAACCAAUGCAAGUGUAAAAGGAGGAACGAAGCGUGGCUCAGCUAUUAGCAAGCCAGAAAUUGUUCACCUGGUUGAUAUGAGAAGAGCAAAUAAUUGUGAGAUCAUGCUUACCAAAAUCAAAAUGCCUCUUCCUGAUAUGAUUAGCGCGAUCUUGGCUUUGGAUACGUCUGUUCUUGAUAAUGACCAAGUGGAGAAUCUCAUUAAGUUUUGCCCUACAAACGAAGAAAUCGAGAUGUUGAAGAACUAUAACGGCAACAAAGAAAUGCUUGGAAAAUGUGAACAGUUUUUCCUGGAGCUAAUGAAAGUUCCUCGCGUCGAGUCCAAACUAAGAGUUUUUGCUUUCAGAAUUGCAUUCUCAACACAGGCUGAUGAGUUACGAACUAACUUAACCACCAUAAAUGAUGCAACAAAAGAGGUGAAAGAGUCUCUGAAGUUACGGCAGAUAAUGCAGACCAUUCUCACAUUAGGGAAUGCAUUGAAUCAAGGAACAGCUCGAGGUUCUGCUGUUGGCUUCAGAUUAGAUAGUCUUCUUAAACUAUCGGAUACUCGAGCUAGGAACAAUAAGAUGACACUAAUGCACUAUUUAUGCAAGCUUCUUGCUGAAAAGUUGCCUGAGCUUCUUGAUUUUGACAAAGACCUGAUUCAUCUGGAAGCAGCUUCGAAGAUCCAAUUGAAGUUGCUUGCUGAAGAAAUGCAAGCAAUAAACAAAGGUCUUGAGAAGGUCGAGCAGGAGUUAGCUGCUUCAGUGAACGAUGGAGCAAUAUCUGUUGGCUUCCGCAAGGCAUUGACAUCCUUUCUCGACUCGGCAGAAGCUGUAGUUAGGUCCCUCAUUUCCUUGUAUUCAGAAGUGGGAAGGAAUGCCGAUUCCCUAGCUCAGUAUUUUGGUGAAGAUCCAGCUCGCUGCCCUUUUGAGCAAGUUACGUCGAUUUUGGUUAUUUUCGUGAAUAUGUUCAAGAAAUCACGUGAUGAAAAUGCUCGAACUGUGGAAGCUGAGAAGAAGAAAAUGGAAAAGGAAAAGGCAAGUAUGUCUACUAUAAAAGGAUCGGAGUGA
rnacentral:rRNA from 1 species